AGCGAACGCUGGCGGCAGGCCUAACACAUGCAAGUCGAACGAACCCUUCGGGGUUAGUGGCGGACGGGUGAGUAACACGUGGGAACGUGCCUUUAGGUUCGGAAUAACUCAGGGAAACUUGUGCUAAUACCGAAUGUGCCCUUCGGGGGAAAGAUUUAUCGCCUUUAGAGCGGCCCGCGUCUGAUUAGCUAGUUGGUGAGGUAAUGGCUCACCAAGGCUACGAUCAGUAGCUGGUCUGAGAGGAUGACCAGCCACAUUGGGACUGCUACACGGCCCAAACUCCUACGGGAGGCAGCAGUGGGGAAUCUUGCGCAAUGGGCGAAAGCCUGACGCAGCCAUGCCGCGUGGAUUAUGAAGGUCUUAGGAUUGUAAAAUCCUUUCACCGGUGAAGAUAAUGACUGUAGCCGGAGAAGAAGCCCCGGCUAACUUCGUGCCAGCCGCCGCCGUAAUAC
rnacentral:rRNA from 1 species